rnacentral:rRNA from 1 species
CACAUGCAAGUCGAACGGUAACAGGCCUUCGGGUGCUGACGAGUGGCGAACGGGUGAGUAAAGCAUCGGAACGUACCCAGAGGUGGGGGAUAACGCAGCGAAAGCUGUGCUAAUACCGCAUGUGAUCUGAGGAUGAAAGCGGGGGACCUUCGGGCCUCGUGCCUUUGGAGCGGCCGAUGUCGGAUUAGCUAGUUGGUGGGGUAAAGGCCUACCAAGGCGACGAUCCGUAGCUGGUCUGAGAGGACGACCAGCCACACUGGGACUGAGACACGGCCCAGACUCCUACGGGAGGCAGCAGUGGGGAAUUUUGGACAAUGGGCGCAAGCCUGAUCCAGCAAUGCCGCGUGCGGGAAGAAGGCCUUCGGGUUGUAAACCGCUUUUGGCAGGAACGAAAAGCUCUGGGCGAAUACCCUGGGGUGAUGACGGUACCUGCAGAAUAAGCACCGGCUAACUACGUGCCAGCAGCCGCGGUAAUACGUAGGGUGCGAGCGUUAAUCGGAAUUACUGGGCGUAAAGCGUGCGCAGGCGGUUGUGUAAGACAGGCGUGAAAUCCCCGGGCUCAACCUGGGAAUGGCGCUUGUGACUGCACGGCUGGAGUGCGGCAGAGGGGGAUGGAAUUCCGCGUGUAGCAGUGAAAUGCGUAGAUAUGCGGAGGAACACCGAUGGCGAAGG